rnacentral:rRNA from 1 species
GACGAACGCUGUCGGCGUGCCUAAUACAUGCAAGUAGAACGCAGUUGCGAACGUGUGAGUAACGCGUAGGUAACUGCCUCAUAGCGGGGGAUAACUAUUGGUAACGAUUGCUAAUACCGCAUCCUGUGAGAUGUACCUGCGGUGUAUUCCCUAGUUGGUGAGGUAAAGGCUCACCAAGACGACGAUGCAUAGCCGACCUGAGUGGGGGAUCUGGCACACUGGGACGGCGACACGGACCAGAAUCCUACGGGAGGCAGCAGUAGGGAAUCUGCGGCAAUGGACGGAAGUCUGACCGAGCAACGCCGCGUGAGUGAAGAAGGUUUUGGGAUCGUAAAGCUCUGUUGUUAGAGAAGCGGUAACUAACAAGAAAGGAACGGCUAACUACGUGCCAGCAGCCCGGUAAUUC